rnacentral:rRNA from 2 species
GGAUGAACGCUGGCGGCGUGCCUAAUACAUGCAAGUCGAACGAGUUCUCGUUGAUGAUCGGUGCUUGCACCGAGAUUCAACAUGGAACGAGUGGCGGACGGGUGAGUAACACGUGGGUAACCUGCCCUUAAGUGGGGGAUAACAUUUGGAAACAGAUGCUAAUACCGCAUAGAUCCAAGAACCGCAUGGUUCUUGGCUGAAAGAUGGCGUAAGCUAUCGCUUUUGGAUGGACCCGCGGCGUAUUAGCUAGUUGGUGAGGUAAUGGCUCACCAAGGCGAUGAUACGUAGCCGAACUGAGAGGUUGAUCGGCCACAUUGGGACUGAGACACGGCCCAAACUCCUACGGGAGGCAGCAGUAGGGAAUCUUCCACAAUGGACGCAAGUCUGAUGGAGCAACGCCGCGUGAGUGAAGAAGGCUUUCGGGUCGUAAAACUCUGUUGUUGGAGAAGAAUGGUCGGCAGAGUAACUGUUGUCGGCGUGACGGUAUCCAACCAGAAAGCCACGGCUAACUACGUGCC